GACAGAGGUGCCGAGCGUUAGGCGGAAUCACUGGGCUUAAAGCGUGUGUAGGCGGGUCGUUAAGUACCUUGUGAAAUCCCACGGCUUAACCGUGGAACUGCUCGGUAUACUGGCGAUCUUGAGCCACUUAAGGGUCAGCGGAACAAAUGGUGGAGCGGUGAAAUGCGUAGAUAUCAUUUGGAACGCCAAUGGUGAAAACAGCUGACUGGGAGUGUGCUGACGCUGAGACACGAAAGCCAGGGGAGCGAACGGG
rnacentral:rRNA from 1 species